rnacentral:rRNA from 1 species
AUUGAACGCUGGCGGCAUGCCUUACACAUGCAAGUCGAACGGUAACAGGUCUUCGGAUGCUGACGAGUGGCGAACGGGUGAGUAAUACAUCGGAACGUGCCUAGUAGUGGGGGAUAACUACUCGAAAGAGUGGCUAAUACCGCAUGAGAUCUACGGAUGAAAGCAGGGGAUCGCAAGACCUUGUGCUACUAGAGCGGCCGAUGGCAGAUUAGGUAGUUGGUGGGAUAAUAGCUUAACAAGCCGACGAUCUGUAGCUGGUCUGAGAGGACGAUCAGCCACACUGGGACUGAGGCACGGCCCAGACUCCUACGGGAGGCAGCAGUGGGGAAUUUUGGACAAUGGGCGCAAGCCUGAUCCAGCAAUGCCGCGUGCAGGAUGAAGGCCUUCGGGUUGUAAACUGCUUUUGUACGGAACGAAAAGCCCUGGGUUAAUACCCUGGGGUCAUGACGGUACCGUAAGAAUAAGCACCGGCUAACUACGUGCCAGCAGCCGCAGUAA